UGCAAGUCGACGAUGAAGCCCAGGCUUGCUGGGUGGAUUAGUGGCGAACGGGUGAGUAACACGUGAGUAACCUGCCCCUGACUCUGGGAUAAGCCCGGGAAACUGGGUCUAAUACCGGAUAUGACCAUGGGACGCAUGUCUUGUGGUGGAAAGAUUUAUCGGUUGGGGAUGGACUCGCGGCCUAUCAGCUUGUUGGUGAGGUAAUGGCUCACCAAGGCGACGACGGGUAGCCGGCCUGAGAGGGUGACCGGCCACACUGGGACUGAGACACGGCCCAGACUCCUACGGGAGGCAGCAGUGGGGAAUAUUGCACAAUGGGCGCAAGCCUGAUGCAGCGACGCCGCGUGAGGGAUGACGGCCUUCGGGUUGUAAACCUCUUUCAGUAGGGAAGAAGCGAGAGUGACGGUACCUGCAGAAGAAGCGCCGGCUAACUACGUGCCAGCAGCCGCGGUAAUACGUAGGGCGCAAGCGUUAUCCGGAUUUAUUGGGCGUAAAGAGCUCGUAGGCGGUUUGUCGCGUCUGCCGUGAAAGUCCGAGGCUCAACCUCGGAUCUGCGGUGGGUACGGGCAGACUAGAGUGAUGUAGGGGAGACUGGAAUUCCUGGUGUAGCGGUGAAAUGCGCAGAUAUCAGGAGGAACACCGAUGGCGAAGGCAGGUCUCUGGGCAUUUACUGACGCUGAGGAGCGAAAGCAUGGGGAGCGAACAGGAUUAGAUACCCUGGUAGUCCAUGCCGUAAACGUUGGGCACUAGGUGUGGGGGGACAUUCCACGUUUUCCGCGCCGUAGCUAACGCAUUAAGUGCCCCGCCUGGGGAGUACGGGCCGCAAGGCUAAAACUCAAAGGGAAUUGACGGGGGCCCGCACAGGCGGCGGA
rnacentral:rRNA from 1 species